rnacentral:rRNA from 1 species
CGUGCUAAGGUAGCGCAAUCCCUUGCCCUUUAAUUGUGGGCCAGUAUGAAUGGACCCACGAAAGCAAAGCUGUCUCUGUAGGGCACAUAAAAAUUACCGUUUAGGUGAAAAGGCCUAAAUUUCAUAAAAAGACAAAAAGACCCUGUAGAGCUUAACUUAUAAAACGACUUAAACCUAAAGUAAUUUACAUCCCGCCCCGUUAAAAAGUUUUGUUGGGGCGACAAAGGACUACCCAAAACGUCCUUUAACUAUUUCGACCCUUCGUCCUCUAAUGACCCACACAACUGCUCAAAAAACAUAGCUACCUCAGGGAUAACAGACCAAUCCCCCUCGCAAGUUCAAAUCAACAGGGGUGUUUGGCACCUCGAUGUUGGCUUAGGA